rnacentral:rRNA from 1 species
UACGGGGGGAGCAAGCGUUGUUCGGAUUUACUGGGCGUAAAGGGCUCGUAGGCGGUUUGUCACGUCGGGAGUGAAAUCUUACAGCUUAACUGUGAACUUGCUUUCGAUACGGGCAGACUUGAGGCAUUCAGGGGAGAACGGAAUUCCUGGUGUAGCGGUGAAAUGCGCAGAUAUCAGGAGGAACACCGGUGGCGAAGGCGGUUCUCUGGGAAUGUACUGACGCUGGAGGAGCGAAAGUGUGGGGGAGCGAAC